rnacentral:rRNA from 1 species
GAGUUUGAUCGUGGCUCAGAAUGAACGUUGGCGGCGUGGAUUAGGCAUGCAAGUCGAGCGCUUAUCCGCAAGGGUAAGAGCGGCGAAAGGGAGAGUAACGCGUGGGUAUCUACCCUCGGGACUGGGAUAGCUGCGGGAAACUGCAGGUAAUACCAGAUGACGUCCCGGACCAAAGGUGUGAUUCCGCCUGAGGAUGAGCCCGCGUCCUAUUAGCUAGUUGGUAGGGUAAUGGCCUACCAAGGCAAUGAUGGGUACUGGGUGUGAGAGCACGACCCAGCUCACUGGGACUGAGACACUGCCCAGACACCUACGGGUGGCUGCAGUCGAGAAUCUUCGGCAAUGGGCGAAAGCCUGACCGAGCGACGCCGCGUGUGGGAUGAAGGCCUUCGGUUGUAACCG